rnacentral:rRNA from 1 species
UACGGGGGGGGCAAGCGUUGUUCGGAAUUACUGGGCGUAAAGGGCCAGUAGGCGGCCAACUAAGUCCGACGUGAAAUCCCCAGGCUUAACCUGGGAACUGCGUCUGAUACUGGAUGGCUUGAGUUUGGGAGAGGGAUGCGGAAUUCCAGGUGUAGCGGUGAAAUGCGUAGAUAUCUGGAGGAACACCGGUGGCGAAGGCGGCAUCCUGGACCAACACUGACACUGAGGAGCGAAAGCCAGGGGAGCAAACGGG